CUUGAUGGCGCCCAGCCACAGCGGCCGCUCCGGGUCCCGCUCCUGCCCGUAGGUGGCGAGCAGCGCCUGCGCUUC
rnacentral:antisense_RNA from 1 species